rnacentral:rRNA from 1 species
UAAACCGUUCGGGGGGAAACGGACAGAGCUCGUGAAUCCGGGCGACGGAAUUCAGAAUUUGUGGCGUUUACGCGCCGCAGGCUCGAUAUUUCCGUCGCCGUCAUUUCGGACGUCGCGACCCGUUUGGUGUCGGCCUGAGGAGACGUGCGAAAGUUCGUCGACGCGUCGGACUCGUUUCGGCGCGUCGACGAGUGCGCGUUUUAUUCGCUGACUGACUCGCCAGACGGUAUGCAACGGUGGUCGCGGCGGCCUUUGCGCCGCCGUCGAUGCCGGUCUGCGACGAAUCUUC